CCUACGGGUGGCAGCAGUGGGGAAUAUUGGACAAUGGGGGCAACCCUGAUCCAGCCAUGCCGCGUGUGUGAAGAAGGCCCUCGGGUUGUAAAGCACUUUCAGUGAGGAAGAACGCCUGGUGGUUAAUACCCAUCAGGAAAGACAUCACUCACAGAAGAAGCACCGGCUAACUCCGUGCCAGCAGCCGCGGUAAUACGGAGGGUGCGAGCGUUAAUCGGAAUUACUGGGCGUAAAGCGCGCGUAGGUGGCUUGAUAAGCCGGUUGUGAAAGCCCCGGGCUCAACCUGGGAACGGCAUCCGGAACUGUCAAGCUAGAGUGCAGGAGAGGAAGGUAGAAUUCCCGGUGUAGCGGUGAAAUGCGUAGAGAUCGCGAGGAAUACCAGUGGCGAAGGCGGCCUUCUGGACUGACACUGACACUGAGGUGCGAAAGCGUGGGUAGCAAACAGGAUUAGAUACCCCAGUAGUC
rnacentral:rRNA from 1 species